rnacentral:rRNA from 1 species
CUAACUGGAGGACCGAACCGACUAAUGUUGAAAAAUUAGCGGAUGACUUGUGGCUGGGGGUGAAAGGCCAAUCAAACCGGGAGAUAGCUGGUUCUCCCCGAAAGCUAUUUAGGUAGCGCCUCGUGAACUCAUCUCCGGGGGUAGAGCACUGUUUCGGCUAGGGGGUCAUCCCGACUUACCAACCCGAUGCAAACUGCGAAUACCGGAGAAUGUUAUCACGGGAGACACACGGCGGGUGCUAACGUUCGUCGUGAA